UGUGUUUUGAUUUUUACAUGGUACCAAAUACCAGGUGUUUCUCGAUUGCACUGCAAUUUUACAAUUGUCUUACUUGAUGAGUUGCGAACAUUUGUUGCCCCGAAUCAAUGGUAAUGACGGCAUUAGCUGUGCUUUUUACGCUCCGAAAUUGUAUCGCAUCUUCAGCAGGGCUAACCAGUUUUGAUCGUUUCUUGAUUACUCAUUAUAUUACUUUAAUUGAAAAUGGCAGCUUCGACGUAAGAAGCUUCUCUUCUCGAUUAGAAACCAGUCUGUGGCGCUAAGAACCGAGUGUAGAGAUGCAAUUAAGCAACUCUGUUGACAGCCGGUGGUUUGUUGUUUUGAAAUACAGCAGCUGGAUCACCCCGCAUGAUUCAGCGCUCUCAUCUUAGCUUUGAGAGGAAGUCUUGCCUAGGUCAUAGAUAAUAUUAAGUGUUAAGGGCUAAUUUAUGCGACGAUGCUCGAAUUUUUCGCAGCAAAUUCAUCUCAGGCCACGGAAGGUGCCAGACGCUUUUAUUCCAGACAUUUUCCCUAUCGACUAAAACAAGGAACUGACAUAAAGGAACUGAGAGACGCUCCACCCUACCCACCCCACCGCGGAAAAAAAAUGUAACAUCAUCAUCUGUGCUGAAGUUUCUCAACACAUCAAUAACAUGCCCUCCGAGGAAAUGCAGAUAUUAUAUUGAAAGGAGUAACAACAUUCAGCAAGUUCAACACUUUGGAAGGCACCAAUAAAUGUGUGAAUAUGAGGAUGCUGCAACCAGGACGUUGUGCAAGUCAGAGGCCUUGGUAUUCUCAUUACUGCCAACCAGCACAUUUCAGAGAACAGGGAACAUCUUACGCAAGAACGAGAACAAGAACCACCACAUGCACAGCUGCACAAACAGGAAAGCAAGUAGGAAACAUCAUGGAACAGACGACGGAUAUUCGAACAACCCAAAACG